UACGAAGGGGGCUAGCGUUGCUCGGAAUCACUGGGCGUAAAGGGUGCGUAGGCGGGUCUUUAAGUCAGAGGUGAAAUCCUGGAGCUCAACUCCAGAACUGCCUUUGAUACUGAAGAUCUUGAGUCCGGGAGAGGUGAGUGGAACUGCGAGUGUAGAGGUGAAAUUCGUAGAUAUUCGCAAGAACACCAGUGGCGAAGGCGGCUCACUGGCCCGGUACUGACGCUGAGGUGCGAAAGCGUGGGGAGCAAACAGG
rnacentral:rRNA from 1 species